rnacentral:rRNA from 1 species
ACUCAAAUGGACUGAGACCGGCCAGACUCUACGGAGCAGCAGGAGGAUCUGCGCAUGAUGAGAGUCGAGCAGCAGCCGCGGAGAGACGCCUACGGUGUAACUCUUUGCGGGAGAGCUGGUUCGAUCUGAGUGACGUACGUGAUAGCACGGCUAACUCCGUGCCAGCAGCGCGGUAAUACGGAGGGUGCAAGCGUGUCCGGAAUCAUUGGGUGUAAAGGGUGCGUAGGCGGGCGUCUGCGUCGGGGGUGAAAUCUCGCCGCUUAACGGUAAAAUGGCUUCGAUACGGGACGUCUUGAGUACAGAAGAGGCUGGUAGAAUUUGUGGUGUAGCGGUGAAAUGCAUAGAGAUCACACAGAAUACCGGUGGCGAAGGCGGCCAGCCAGUCUGUAACUGACGCUGAGGCACGAGAGCGUGGGGAGCGAACAGGAUUAGAUACCCUGGUAGUCCACGCUGUAAACGAUGUAUGCUAGAUGUUGGCCGAAGGGCCAGUGUUGUAGUUAACGCGCUAAGCAUACCACCUGGGGAGUACGUUCGCAAGAAUGAAACUCAAAGGAAUUGACGGGGGCCCGCACAAGCGGUGGAGCAUGUGGCUUAAUUCGAUGCAACGCGAAGAACCUUACCCGGGCUAAAUCCAGCCUGCCGGCUCCUGAAAGGGAGCGUUCCUGCUUUGCAGGACGGGCUGGAAGGUGCUGCAUGGCUGUCGUCAGCUCGUGCCGUGAGGUGUUGGGUUAAGUCCCGCAACGAGCGCAACCCCUGUGGUUAGUUACCAGCGCGUAAUGGCGGGGACUCUAGCCAGACUGCCUACGCAAGUAGUGAGGAAGGUGGGGACGACGUCAAGUCAUCAUGGCCCUUACGUCCGGGGCUGCACACGUGCUACAAUGGGCGCUACAAAGGGAAGCCACCUCGCGAGAGGGCGCAGAUCUUUAAAGGCGUCCCCAGUUCGGAUUGGAGUCUGCAACUCGACUCCAUGAAGAUGGAAUCGCUAGUAAUCGCGGAUCAGCAACGCCGCGGUGAAUACGUUCCCGGGCCUUGUACACACCGCCCGUCAAGCGAUGGAAGUCAGGAGUACCUGAUGUC